UAUUAGAAAAUAGAAUAUAAAAAUAAUAUAUUGAUUUGUAACUUCCGUUUUAUUAAAUUUUUAUUUAUCUUAUUUCGUUUUUAUAUUAGCAUGUAUCACAAUAAGCAUUCUCGUCGAACAUUGAGAUACUAAAGAUACUAAAUCCGAACACUCGGACAGAGAAGAUAUAAUCCAUCUUAGAGGAGAACAGUAUUGUUUACGUAUAACGCAUACUAGUUUCGAAGAGUAAACAAUUCGAAACAAGAUUUGUAGUUGUGAGCAUUCGUACCUCAUUUCCUUCUCCUUUACGAUAUCUCAAUACUCAAUGUCUCUUUGAUAAAUUCCAAAAUACCUAAUAAAUUUAUUAACAUCUCAAAUUCCGAUUCCAUUUUCAAUCAUUUUUUAUUUCGUUGAUAUCGAAGUUAUAAUAGAUAUAUAUUUCAGAAUGAAACAUAACCUCCAAAAAUUCGAACUUACUUUAAUUCUAUUAUUCGAGAUAUAAAUAAAAAAAAAGAUAUUAUUUGGAGAAAAAUUAAUUCAUUGAUCAUUCUCAUAUAUAUAUAUAUCAUGUUUCUGAACUUUGCUCUCAUUUUCUUAUUUGAUAAUAAAGAAGAGUAUCGCUCGACAGAAGCAAUUAGAUGGAGAGAGUUGUGCGACACAUGCUAAGGACAAUUUUUCACAAGCAACUGGUACAGCAAGAUCUUCAUGGUAACGUUUUGACAAGAAAGCAACGAUCUCUUUACCGCUACCGAGAAUAACCGAGUUCCUUAGGUACAUACUGCGAAGUGUUUAUAUCGUCGAUUCGAACUGCGGAGGUGUUCUGUACUUCGUCAACCGAAGAGUUUACAAAGCGGCGAUUCCUGCUUCAAUUCGAGGGCCCACAUAUGUUGCGGCCAACCAGUUCGUCCUUUGCUUUUCGAUGAUUCCUCGGUUCCUACACCUGUCUGGUGUAAAUACGAUUCAUUCUGCAACGAAAAAUUUCGA